rnacentral:lncRNA from 1 species
GUCACUCUAUGCCAAGACAUAAGUUUGUAUUAUAUUUCCAAAGGAAAAGACAAAUUUAACAAAUUUUAAUCAAUAACUAAUAGAAUUAAAAUGACAACCCACCACAAACAAUUUAUAUUUUUUUCUAGUCAAAUCUGACAAAAUUUCAUUGUACCAUAACAAGAACGACAACAAAUAAAAAAAUCAAGGAUAUGAAAUACUAGGAAAAGCGUAAAAUUAUUCCACAGUUCCAAAAUAUAUCGAAAUCUACAAUGAAAAAACUCAUGGACAACAAGAUUUAACGCAAGAACUCGUGACGUGUCAGUGCCGGCGAGGUUUCUCGCUGCCGCAAGCCGUCUUCUUCCGGGCUUCCACCUUCCUCCGGGCUUGUUCCACCAUCUUGUGAACGUACUCCAGGUCCUCAGUUGCCUCCGUUGGGGUGAGCCAGAACGAGAGGUCAUCUCCCUUCGGCGGCGACUGCUGCGUGACGAAGUGGUUCACCGCCGCUUGUUGGUUGGCAACGUCCCACUCCCCGAACACCUCCACACCACGGCGGAAGCGCUCGUCGUGGUCGUCCGAUUUCAGUGGCACGACAGCAGAAUUGGCGGCGGACGGCGAUGGUGGUCGUCUCGCCUUGGCCGGAAGGUGCGGCGGCGGCGGCGGGGCAGCCGGUCCUAAGACGGUAAGCCGCCUCGAAGAAGAACUCGGAGUGGCAGCUGCGUGAUUGUUGGCGUAAUAGGAGUGGUUGCUGUCUCCCGGUGAGCUGCCGCUGCCGGCGACCGAAUGUUGUUUGCCGCCGCUGUCACCGCCGAUGACGAACGAUGACGACGACGAUGAGUGCUUGACGCGGAUUGCCUUGCUCGAUGCAGGUAGAGCCACGAACGGUGAUGCCUUGUCGUCCUUGCUUGAUGAGCCACCGGCACCCGUCCUCUCUGCCGCCGGCGCGCGUCUCUGGCUGCGGUGCGCUCCGCCCGUGGGUGUGGCGAGCUCUGUGCCGCCGCGGUCAGCGUCGAUCGUCGACCAUGUCGCGGUGAGUUCUUGAGGAAGAAGAGCAUCUUUUGCAUCGUGCUUCCUCCGCUUCCGCUUGUGAUCACGGUGGCCUGUCACCAACGGCGGCAGCAGCGAGUGGUGAACAUAGUCGACAACUUUGUCGUCGCUUGCAGCCACGAGGCCCGAUGUUUCCUCCGGUGGCAUGGUGAUUGACUGGAGUCCGAUCGGAUGCGUGCACCCGCAGCCUUGGUCUUGGUUUAUUUAUAACAGCAAUUAAACGAAUCGGACUCAGAAUACGAGUUGUUGAGUACAGCGCGACGCUCAGCAUCCACCCAAAUCGGAGUAGGGCUGCCUUGCCGCCCCCACACCCUCAAGGCGUCACUCUCAGUAGCCGCCGCAUCCGGCCGCCGGUCCCGCUCCCGCGCGAGGGGGAGGAGAAGAUCACGGCGGCGGCGGCGUCUUCUGCCGGUUUGAGGUAGCUUUCCGUUCGUGUUUAAGCUAAAAUUGGUGCUGUUGAUUAAGAGGGGAAGAAGGUGCUGGCUCGUCAGAUUCAGCUGUGCUGCUCCGGCUCGGGUUUUCUUUUCUUUGAAAUGGAUAGUCAAAUUGCAGGAUUUGGGGACAUCAGCUGCCGCCAGGCUCCAUCAUGGACAAGGCGUUUCUGCGCCCUCCGCUCGCUCGUAAUCUGGUUUAUGACGAGUUUGCCGUUCUGCACCCCACAAGCUACCCUUUCCACACUCUUCGGUAUUUGAGAUGCAAUUCGAUGUAGGCUUUGUUCCCGAAAACCAAAAACUUUUCAAGAUUUUCCGUCACAUCAAAUCUUGGAACAUAUGCAUAAAGCAUUAGAUAUAGAUAAAAAUAAAAACUAAUUGCACAGUUUGUCUGUAAAUCACGAGAUGAAUCUUUUAAUCCUAAUUAAUCUAUGAUUGAAUAAUAUUUGUCAAAUAAAAAUAAAAAUACUACAGUGCCGAAAUCCGAAAAAAAUUUAGGAACUAAACAAGGCCGUAUUCAAGACCGCUGCUAACAACAUCACCACCUUCACCAUCAACGGUAUGCUCUUCCCGAAGCUGCAAGGCAUAACAGAAGGAACUUCUCUGAGUUUCAGAGUUGAUUUUUAGCUCCAAAAUUCACAUCAAGGGUAGCUUCACCAUCAAGGGUAUGCUCUUCCCGAAGAUGCGUGAGCUCGGCGGGAUGGGCAAACACGGCGUGAGCUUCCCGGCGACCGUGUGCGAGCAGACGACCUCAUCGCGCCGCUGCACUGUAGACCCGGCCCCCUACCGCCACCGACACUGAGCAGCACAUGGCCGACGCUGCCCCUGGAUCUCCAUCGUCGCACCGGUGCGACCGGCCAUCUCCGUUGGUUGGAACGGCAAGGCUCCAGGCACACCGGAUCUAGAGGGAGGGGAUUCGGUCCCGUCCCCAAUGUCGUUGUCGUAGUUUGUGGUUACUGCAUAGACUUUCUUCAAAAUUUUAAGAUCUUGUUUAGUUUCGAAUUUUUUUUAGAUUUCGGUACUAUAGUUUUUUCGUUUGUAUUUGAUAAUUAUUAUCUAACUAUAGACUAAGUAGGUUUAAAAGAUUCGUCUCAUAAAUUACAGACACACUAUGCAAUUAAUUUUUGUUUUCAUCUAUAUUUAGUGUUCCAUGUAUGUGCCGCAAGAUUCGAUGUGAAUCUUAAAAAGUUUUUAGAUUUUGGGGUGAUCUAAACAAGGC